GGCAAAAAUCACGUGGCAAAAUCACCAAUGAUUAACCCCCUCUCGGCACACACAAAUAAUUAGUAACCUACUCUCGGGAACCUGUGAGAACCUGCUGGAUCCCACCUCUGGCUAGAUCUUCAGUCAAACGUAUACCCUGCCGUUAUGUACAUUCCGGGUGGCUUGCAAUCAUUCGUUCCACAUGGUGAAUUAUCUGGCAUCUGGCUUCCUCUUUGACUUCUCAAACCGCGCACAACAUCAGAAGUUCAUUAGGCCCUGCUGAUGCGCAGUAUCUUCACAAUAAGGGGAAAAAAAACUGUGGGUGACUUCCAGUCCCAUCGAAUCUGGUUCUGUGGCACGCGUUUCCACUUUGGCUGCUCUGUCUUCGCAGAGUCCAGAUGUUUGUUGGGAGGGCUAAAACGUCAAGAACGGUGCGCUCGUCAUGCGCGGGGCGCUUAAAAUGGAUUUUGGCUGGGUCGUUGCCAGAUCUUUGGCUUCCGUUCUCAACAAACGUGGGGUGGGGGGAGCCGGAAGAGUUAAUUCACACAUGCUGGAUCAGUGUAGGUGAACGUGUGAGCCAUCUCCAUUAAAAACUACCGCGUGGGAGAUGACGUUCCUACUGCGGUGGUGAACUGAGACGGCUCAUCCACGUCACCGCUAAUAGACGCCGUUGCCGACGAGUGACAAGCGUGGACGUGUGAACCCGCCCCCAGUUGUCGCAAAUCAAGGAGAUUUUGUACAGGGUGUUAUAUUAUUUUUACAUAUAUUUGGAAAAAUGUACUCGACUGAUAAAAAAUAAAGUUGACUUGGGAAAU